AUUGAACGCUGGCGGCAGGCUCAACACAUGCAAGUCGAGCGGAGAUGAGGUGCUUGCACCUUAUCUUAGCGGCGGACGGGUGAGUAAUGCUUAGGAAUCUGCCUAUUAGUGGGGGACAACAUUCCGAAAGGAAUGCUAAUACAGCAUACGUCCUACGGGAGAAAGCAGGGGAUCUUCGGACCUUGCGCUAAUAGAUGAGCCUAAGUCUGAUUAGCCAGUUGGUGGGGUAAAGGCCUACCAAGGCGACGAUCUGUAGCGGGUUGGAGAGGAUGAGCCGCCACACUGGGACGGAGACACGGCCCAGACUCCUACGGGAGGCAGCAGUGGGGAAUAUUGGACAAUGGGGUGAACCCCGAUCCAGCCAUGCCGCGUGUGUGAAGAAGGCCUUAUGGUCGUAAAGCACUUUAAGCGAGGAGGAGGCUACUGAGACUAAUACUCUUGGAUAGUGGACGUUACUCGCAGAAUAAGCACCGGCUAACUCUGUGCCAGCCGCCGCAGUAAGAC
rnacentral:rRNA from 1 species